rnacentral:rRNA from 1 species
AACACAUGCAAGUCGAACGGCAGCACAGAGGAGCUUGCUCCUUGGGUGGCGAGUGGCGGACGGGUGAGGAAUACAUCGGAAUCUACUCUGUCGUGGGGGAUAACGUAGGGAAACUUACGCUAAUACCGCAUACGACCUACGGGUGAAAGCAGGGGAUCUUCGGACCUUGCGCGAUUGAAUGAGCCGAUGUCGGAUUAGCUAGUUGGCGGGGUAAAGGCCCACCAAGGCGACGAUCCGUAGCUGGUCUGAGAGGAUGAUCAGCCACACUGGAACUGAGACACGGUCCAGACUCCUACGGGAGGCAGCAGUGGGGAAUAUUGGACAAUGGGCGCAAGCCUGAUCCAGCCAUACCGCGUGGGUGAAGAAGGCCUUCGGGUUGUAAAGCCCUUUUGUUGGGAAAGAAAUCCAGCUGGUUAAUACCCGGUUGGGAUGACGGUACCCAAAGAAUAAGCACCGGCUAACUUCGUGCCAGCAGACGCGGUAAUACGAAGGGUGCAAGCGUUACUCGGAAUUACUGGGCGUAAAGCGUGCGUAGGUGGUCGUUUAAGUCCGUUGUGAAAGCCCUGGGCUCAACCUGGGGAACUGCAGUGGAUACUGGACGACUAGAGUUUGGUAAAGGGUAGCGGAAUUCCUGGUGUAGCAGUGAAAUGCGUAGAGAUCACGGGGGACAUCCAUGGCGAAGGCAGCUACAUGGACCAACACUGACACUGAGGCACGAAAGCGUGGGGAGC